UAAUGUUACUCUAAAAUGACUGGGAAACACGAAGGUAACAUUAACGAAUGUUUGUGUUAAGCUAAGCAGAAACCCUUAUUUUUCUGACGUUCCCUUAAGCACUUCGGGAGUUUCAGUGGCAGGAAAAUGGAAUAAAAGGAUGGAUAUUCUAGGUCAAAAAAGAUGAAACACAAAGAUCAGCAUCCAUUCAACAAUGACAUAAAAAACGGGAAUGCAAAAGAAGCAGCAACAAAAGAAGCAGCAACCAACGAGGCAACUGACUUUAACCAUGGUGAAGUAAAUGCUUCAACUGGAAACCUCUCAAACACUGCCGACACUUGUCCAGGACAAGGCCCUACUCAACUUAUUACUUGUCAAAUGGAACCCAGUAAUGGUAAUGAAGCAAUGCUCACAAGGAUGCUUCAAGCUCCUGCAGUUGAUGCCCCUCAAAACAGAAAACAAAUAAUUCACAAGACUGUAAGCAGUUCACAGGAUGCUGAGCCAGUAAAGCAUAUCCCAAAUCUGGCCUCAGCUGUGAGAGUGACUGAACAACACACAUCUCCUGCACAACCUAAGGACAAAAAGACCUGUACUCCAAAACCAAUGCUCCAACGGGCUACACCUGCAAAACCAAGCACUGGACCAUACUGUGGUGGGAAAGUAACUGCAGGAAAAUUUGAUGCUCUGAGGUCAGACAUCUUACAGCAAUUUCAGGAUGUACCUGAAAAAGUAAGCCAGCAGCAGUCAAGACAUUCAGCACCAGUACAGCAACAGGAAAACAAAAAGGUGAUGUAUGGUCAUACUCAACCUGAGGAAUCUAGAAAUUUAAACCAGUCACAGCAGAGGCUUGCAGUAAAGGAAACCACAGAGGUACCACUACAGACAGUAAGGACUGUUGCACUGUGUGACCCGAGUAUGAGGGCUACUGCAGACUCAGUCCAAGAAGUAAACCGGGCACUCUGCAGCACUACCUCACGUCGGGUAGAAUGCAGGUGAG